CUCGGUUUAAAGAGGGCUAACCAAGUGGUUUAGUUAAAGUGGCAAAUUUAUUUAUUACAUUUGGUUAGGAGUGAAAUGCUAGUCGAUCUUUAAGGUAUCUAGUUUUUCAAGAAAUGGAUUUAAUCCAGGUGUCGUGUGUGAUUCUAUGUAAUUGGGUUUUAAGCAACGUGACGCUAAGAUUUUAGGGGAUAAGCUCUAAUUUCUAUUAUAAAUUUAGAGUUCAGUCAAGGGUGUAGGCCUAAAAGUAGCCACCAUAAGGAUAUUAUAAUUUAUCUUUGAGUAAAAGAAUUUUAUUGUUUUAAGUAACUAUUGAAAUAAAUGUGUUAAUAAGAUUCUCAUUAAGAUAAUGAUAAAAUGAGUAUUUUUGUAAAAUCUUAUUAAGGAAUUCGGCAAAUUUGUGCUCGCCUGUUUAUCAAAAACAUCGCCUUUAGGGUAUAUAAAAGGUAUCACCUGCCCACUGAGGUAUUUAAGGGCCGCGGUAUUUUGACCGUGCAAAGGUAGCAUAAUCAUUAGUCUUUUAAUUAGAGACUGGUAUGAAAGGUAGGACGAGGUACAAACUGUCUCCAUAAGAAAAUAAAAAUUAACUUUUUAGUUAAAAGGCUAAAAUGAGGUUAAAGGACGAGAAGACCCUAUAGAACUUUAUAAAUUAGAGUUAGAUAUUUAGGAAAGUAUUUUAUUUAUACUUAAACUUUAUUACGUUGGGGUGAUGGGGUAAUAAAUUAACUUACCUUAAGUGUAACACUAUUAAUGAUUAAGGGAUCCAUAAAUAAUGAUUAAAAAAUUAAGUUACCUUAGGGAUAACAGCGUAAUCCUUUUUGAGAGUUCAUAUCGAUAAGAGGGGUUGCGACCUCGAUGUUGGAUUAAAGGUAAUUCUAGGUGCAGCCGCUUAGAGUUGGGGUCUGUUCGACCCUUAAAACUUUACAUGAUCUGAGUUCAGACCGGCGUGAGCCAGGUCGGUUUCUAUCCUUAAUAAGAAGGAUAUUUUAGUACGAAAGGACCAAAUAU
rnacentral:rRNA from 1 species